GCGGCUUCUCGUGGUUCCCUAGAGACAGAGGGAGUUGAGUGAGAUUAUUGAGGAGGAGACCAGUAGUAGAAGCUGCAGCCGGUGUCAGGCGAGUAACAGUGAAAAUGGAAGGAAAGGGAUCUGGGUCAAGUCAACUGUCCGGGUCCAUCAUCUCUGUGGGACCUUCAUGUGUCCUGGAUCUGUCCUGUACCCAUGAUAUAACAGACAAGAUAAUACAACAGGAGACCCCUUGUGAAUCGCAGCAAUGCAGCCUGAGCCCACUUGUACCCCCCCAACUCAUGUCUAACUUUCAUGGGAAAUGCAGCUGGAAACUGAGUAAAUCUCUGCGGCUGAAGAUCUAACUAGAGAAUGCAGCGUGCCAAUGAUUCCAGAUACUGCAGCUCUCAACAUGUACAACAAUGCUGUCAAACUAUAACAACACGCCAGAAAGGUUUCUUUCUUGUGUCUUCACUGCUGAGAGAAUUUACUGUUCUAUUUAAUGUUCUGGCAGCAGCGGAGGGUUAAUUAAUGAUUAAUGACGGCUCCUCGGCAGCAGGAAAAAGCACAAGAGAAAGAGUUGCCGCAAGAUUAAAAACUAAUUUAUAUGCUAUGUUAUCACCUCUUGAUACAGAUAAACCUUCAAGUCCAGGUUAUUGGGAAGCACCAUUUAGCCAUCUCACCUCAACUUGACUUGGCUCCUUACUGAAAGACCUGAACUUGACUUGGCUCCUCACUGAAAGACCUCAACUCAAUUUGGCUUCUUACUGAAAGACCUGAACAUCACUUGGAUUCUUAAUGAAAGACCUCUACUUGUCUUGGCUCCUUACUGAAAGACCUCAAAUUGACUUGGCUUAUUACUGAAAAACUUCAACUUGACUUGGCUUCUUAUUGAAAGAACUCAACUUGACUUGGCUUCUUACUGAAAAACCUCAACUUGACUUGGCUCCUUAAUGAAAGACUUCAACUUGACUUGGCUGCUUACUGAAAGACCUCCACUUGAUUUGGUUCCUUUCUGAAAGACCUCAACUUGACUUGGCUUCUUAUUGAAAGACUCAACUUGACUUGGCUCCUUACUGAAAGACCUCAACUUGACUUGGCUUCUUACUGAAAGACAAGACUCGCUUUUGUGGUCAUUUUUCAUUAUUCUAAACAAUGAACUCAUUUUAGAAUGAUUUUUCCUAGUUUGAUUUAAAAUCCUUUUUCAUUGCUUACUUGCUUAGCAAUAGGAAUUUUAAAAUGCUGGAAUUUCUUUUAAGAUGAAGAAUAACUUUUGUUUGCUCAAGGUGAUACAACUCGAGUAAUAAUCCUAUUCAGCCGUGAAAACAAAUUUAUCAACUGAAAAGCAAAUGAAUAUCUUAAAUAAUGUUUAUGUAGAUUUUAAACAACCUUUUUCCAUGUGUGCUUGAUUACAAGAAUAUGUUAAUGCCUCAGAAGUUCAUCGCAUUGUAAAACGCUUUCUGUUCUGUGUAUAUUGUCCAGGUAUAGGACCUGUUAUCUAGAAUGCUCAGGACCUGGGGUUUUCUGGAUAAGAGAUAUUUUUGUCAUUUGGAUCU